ensembl:lncRNA
CUUGACGCCGCCAGAGGGACUGAGGUAACCAGGUUCAGACGUACCAUUGUUAAAGAACACGGGGUUCCAAAGUGCUGCUCAAAUGGGGAUUUCUGUGAGCAUGUCUUGGCGACAUCUCCGUUCGAGGUGGUUCAUAACGUUGGCGUUUUACAGAACUGAAUGCGGAGAGUGAAAAGGGGUCAGCGGUCGUUUAAAUGCUUUAAAAUAAUGCAGCUCUCCACAGAUGGUCUCUUCCAUCCGACUUCAUCCAGCGUGGUGGUGCACGUGCGGCCGUCCUCGUUUCACCGGAGCACGCUGGAGGGGUCCAAUCAGUGUGCGUGUGGACGUAACGCUGUGGUUGUGCUCAUCAUAUAUGCAGAGGUGGAGCUGGAUGAUUUUUAAGCGUGUAAGACCAUCACUCACACUGAGGUGGCAUAAUGUAUUUUGUUGUUUUAGGAAAUCACACAUCUCCACAGACUUGACACCUUUUACAGGAUGCACUGACUUAAAAAUUACCUUCUGUGUUCAGUGGUAGAACCAGAUAGUUUCUCCUGGGUGAGACCAUUAACCACACUGAGGUGGCUGAGAUGUCUCAGUUUUUUCUAUCUCUGAAGGCCAACCAGUCAUUUCAUUGGUAACUUACCAUUAUCAUUUGCUUAUGCAGGUAAGACUGCCACUAGAAACGCAUAAGAACUCAUGUACAGUAUAAUAAACUGUUUAUGUAAUCAUGUAAUCCCUCAGUCUCUUAUCAUCAUCUCAGGAGACUUUAAUCAUGCAUCGCUCUCUGCCACUCUCCCCACGUUCACCCAGUACGUGACCUGCCAUACCAGAGACAAUAAAACCCUGGACCUGCUGUAUGCAAACAUCAAGGAUGCAUACAGCUCCUCCCUCCUCCCCCAGCUGGGCCAAUCAGAUCACAACCUGGUGAGACUGCAGCCCAUUUACAUACCUAUGGUGAAGAAACAACCCCCCACCACCAGGUAUGUGAAGAAGUGGUCUGACGAGGCCACUGAGGCGCUGCAGGACUGCUUUGAGACCACAGACUGGGAUGUGCUGUGUGGUCCACACGGGGAGGACAUUGAUGCACUGACGGACACUAUCACGGACUACAUUAACUUCUGUGCAGAGAACAUCGUACCGACCAGGAAAGUACGGUGUUUCUCUAACAGCAAACCCUGGGUGUCCCUGGAACUGAAGGCCCUGCUGAAGGAGAAGAGGAGGGUUUUUGGAUCUGGGGACAAAGAGGAGCUGAGGAGGGUGCAGAAGGAGAUAAAGAAGAAGAUCAAGGCG